rnacentral:rRNA from 1 species
UACAGAGGUCUCAAGCGUUGUUUCGGAUUCAUUGGGCGUAAAGGGUGUGUAGGUGGCGCCGUAAGUCGGGUGUGAAAUUUCGGAGCUUAACUCCGAAACUGCAUUCGAUACUGCGGUGCUUUGAGGACUGGAGAGGAGACUGGAAUUCAUGGUGUAGCAGUGAAAUGCGUAGAGAUCAUGAGGAAGACCAGUGGCGAAGGCGGGUCUCUGGACAGUUCCUGACACUGAGACACGAAGGCCAGGGGAGCAAACGGG